GACGAACGCUGGCGGCGUGCCUAAUACAUGCAAGUAGAACGCUGAAGAGAGGAGCUUGCUCUUCUUGGAUGAGUUGCGAACGGGUGAGUAACGCGUAGGUAACCUGCCUGGUAGCGGGGGAUAACUAUUGGAAAUGAUAGCUAAUACCGCAUGAUAUUAAUUGUCGCAUGAUAAUUAAUUGAAAGAUGCAAUUGCAUCACUACCAGAUAGACCUGCGUUGUAUUAGCUAGUUGGUGAGGUAACGGCUCACCAAGGCGACGAUACAUAGCCGACCUGAGAGGGUGAUCGGCCACACUGGGACUGAGACACGGCCCAGACUCCUACGGGAGGCAGCAGUAGGGAAUCUUCGGCAAUGGGGGGAACCCUGACCGAGCAACGCCGCGUGAGUGAAGAAGGUUUUCGGAUCGUAAAGCUCUGUUGUAAGAGAAGAACGGGUGUGAGAGUGGAAAGUUCACACUGUGACGGUAUCUUACCAGAA
rnacentral:rRNA from 1 species